ACUGAUGUCGUAAAUGAAACUGUUUUUUAAAUCUCAGGCUGCAGGGGUCAGGCAGCCUGGGCACAGAGGUUGGGUGACUGGGACACAGAAGCCAAUCUGUGUUGGGUCACAGAGGUCAGGCCGUGCUGGGGCACAGAGGACAGGCCUUUCUGGGGCACAGAGGUCAGGCCUUUCUGGGCACAGAGGUCAGGCCGUGCUGGGGCACAGAGGACAGGCCUUUCUGAGGCACAGAGGACAGGCCUUUCUGGGCACAGAGGUCAGGCCUUUCUGGGGCACAGAGGUCAGGCCGUGCUGGGGCACAGAGGUCAGGCCUUUCUGGGCACAGAGGUCAGGCCUUUCUGGGGC